AUACGUAGGUGGCAAGCGUUGUCCGGAUUUACUGGGCGUAAAGGAUGCGUAGGCGGAUGUUUAAGUGAGAUGUGAAAUUCCCGGGCUUAACUUGGGAGCUGCAUUUCAAACUGGAUGUCUAGAGUGCAGGAGAGGAGAAUGGAAUUCCUAAUGUAGCGGUGAAAUGCGUAGAGAUUAGGAAGAACACCAGUGGCGAAGGCGAUUCUCUGGACUGUAACUGACGCUGAGGCAUGAAAGCGUGGGUAGCAAACAGGAUUAGAUACCCUGGUAGUCCACGCCGUAAACGAUGAGUACUAGGUGUAGGAGGUCUAAGCCUUCUGUGCCGCAGUUAACACAAUAAGUACUCCGCCUGGGAAGUACGAUCGCAAGAUUAAA
rnacentral:rRNA from 1 species